CUCUCCAUAUAUUUCAUAUUUCUUCAAAUCAUAUGCAGGCAUUCAAACGUUGAGGAAAAGAAGGCCGCAACAAUACUUUUGAAAUUCUUCAAAGUCUUAAUACAUUCGGCACACAAAUCAAGGAAUUUUCUUCUGGCCGACUAUCUUCUUCAUCAAGAUUCAGGUGAGCUUCUUCAUCAACACAAAUGUUUAUUUUCGCAGUUCUUUCUUCAUUUGUUUGAACCUUAAUUCUUACGAACACCAUUAUACUUCUUUUUAAAUUGUGGCAUGUACAACAAUAUUAACUGAAAAUUGUUCACGAAACACAUUCAAGUUGAUCUGUGAAAUUUUGUCAAGGUCACAAACAAAAAUGUAAAGGGUAUAAUAUUUUUUCGUUUUUAAUUAUAGGUUGUAUAUAGAUAUGGAUAUAAAUUAUUUAUUUAUUCUUUUAAACUACAGAAACAAUAUAUCAAAAGAUAUCCCCUUGAUUUUAGGAACAACAGGAACAACAACUAGAAUUUGUUUUAUAUUUAUAAAGUUUAUUGUUUUUAUAAUUUUUAGCAAAAUUAAAAAUGAAAAUAAGUGGAGGAGGAAGGGAAGAACAAGACCAACUAUAGAUUACCAGCUAUUGGAAUCACUGUUCCAAAAAACCAUUAACAAAGAAGGUUGAAUAUCUGUCAAGUUCUUCUGAUGAGAUAUUAAUUAACAAAGAAGGUUGAAUAUUUGUCAAGUUCUUUUGAUGAGGUAUUAAUGUAAAAAAAUUUCAAUUACACAAAAGUUGUAAAUGUUGAUAACUUCUUGUAUGAAUACUUACAAUAGAGACCAAGACAUCCAAUGGUUGAGGGGUCGGGAAGCAAGCAUGAAAGUCAAAACACUUCAAUAAAGAGGGGAGGAAUGAACCUCCAAAUGAAAAUACUGCUAUGAAGAAAAAACAUAGGAUAAAGAGUUUGGUGAACUGUCUUAUUAAAACUUGUUUUCUAAUGAAUACAGUGAAAUUUUUUAAGUUGGGGACUGUGUAGGUUUCAAAAAGGCAAUUUAUGAGAAGGAAGAAACAUGAAGAAGAAGAGAAAGAAGCAAAGAGAAUGAAGAGAAGGUGUGUUGUCUCCGUUGUUGUACUUCAAUUAAUCAAAUGUACUAUAUUUAGUAAAUUCAUAACAUAACCUUUACCCAACAAAUCUUGUUGAACACGAAGUGAACAAGAUAAACAAGAAGAACAAGAUGAAGAUGAAGAAGGACAAGGUGAGACAGAUGCGAAAGGAGAAUGUAGUGUAGGGACGAAAGAAACAACGAAGAAAUGAAAAAUCAGUAGAGAAUAAAAAAAGAAAAAAGGAUACAACAAAGGGAAAGAAUGCAACAUUCCAUAACAUAUGAUAAAUGUAAAAGAUAUAUGGAAAUUUGCUAUCAAUUUCCUUUUUAUAACAUAGGUUAAGAGUGCUAACAAGGAAGAAAAGGCGAAAGAGGAUAAAAGAUGGAAAGGGAAAGCACAAAUGACAUAAGAAAAAACUGAGGACCAAUCUUCAUUGAAUUCAACUUCCUUUGACAGAACCAAAAACGACCACAAAAGACCAAGGUAAUGCCCUAAAUAAUAUGAAUGUCAGGUCCACGCUUUCCAAAAUGCUACAAUUAAUUAUUAUUUCUUUUUGCUAAAACCUUACUGGUUAAAGGAACCUAGUUGACAAGUGAUGACUUUCAAAUAUAGAUGAAAAUAAUCCAACCACGAGAGUUAUACUAAAAUAUGUAAGCACGUCUCCUACAAUUAAUGAUAAUAUGUAAGAUAUAAUUAGUUAUCCUAUUAAUGUAUUUCGUUUUUUAUAGUUGAACAUGAUGACAGAGAAUAAGAGAAGAUCGAAUGAACAGAGUAAAUGAUAAACCAUAUAUUGUUGACGCUCGAUCAACUUUAAUGUUACGUGAAUAAUUAUUUUAUGCAUUGUAAAUAUUUUGAGAGAGUUGUAAUGAAGGUUGAAAAAUGAGGUUUUUUUUCUUUUUGUACGGAUAGUCUAUUUUGAGAGGUUAAAAUGAAAUGAAAUUUGGCCUUACAUUUUUAAACCA